rnacentral:rRNA from 1 species
GGUUCGCUGCCGGCGACGUCGCGAGAAUUCCACUGAACCUUAUCAUUUAGAGGAAGGAGAAGUCGUAACAAGGUUUCCGUAGGUGAACCUGCGGAAGGAUCAUUGUCGAAUCCUGCGUAGCAGAACAACCUGUGAACAUGUAACAACAAAAUGGCUUCACUGGGGGUGAUGCUUGUGUUUCAGACCCUGUGAAGCCUUUUCAGCGCGUGUUUGUGGUUGCCUCUUUUGGUCGCUCAUUGAUGUCGUGCUGAUCUAACAACCCCCCGGCACAACAUGUGCCAAGGAAAUCAAAUCUCAACAGGGCGCGCGCUAUGACACCCCGUACGUGGUGUGUUCAUUGUAUGUUGCCGCUAUGUAAAAUCUUAAAACAACUCUCGGCAACGGAUAUCUUGGCUCACGCAUCGAUGAAAAACGUAGCAAAAUGCGAUACUUGGUGUGAAUUGCAGAAUCCCGUGAACCAUCGAGUUUUUGAACGCAAGUUGCGCCCGAGGCCACUUGGCUGAGGGCACGUCUGCCUGGGUGUCACGCAUCAUGUCGCCCAAAUCAAACUUACCUUACGGUACUGUGUUGCAUGUUGGGCGGAAACUGGUCUCCCGUGCCCGUGGCGUGGUUGGCCGAAAUACGAGUACCCUGACGAGUGACGCAUGACUGGUGGUGGUUGAUUAGACAGUCGUCCUGUGUCGUGCGUUGAUCACUGUGAUGGGAAAAGGCUUUUAAAAUAACCCUGAUGUUUGUUGUCUUGUGACAAACGUUUGAUUGCGACCCCAGGUCAGGCGAGACUACCCGCUGAGUUUAAGCAUAUCAAUAAGCGGAGGAAAAGAAACU